rnacentral:tRNA from 1 species
UCCCUUGUGGCUUAGUAGGUAAAGAAUCCAUCUGCAAUGCGGGAGGCCUGGGUUCGAUCCCUAGGUUGGGAA